GGUUGAGCCUGCGCAGUAGUC
rnacentral:rRNA from 1 species